GGGCCCGCACAAGCGGUGGAGUAUGUGGUUUAAUUCGAUGCAACGCGAAGAACCUUACCAGGGUUUGACAUCCUGCGAAUCUCUUGGAAACGAGAGAGUGCCUUCGGGAACGCAGUGACAGGUGGUGCAUGGCUGUCGUCAGCUCGUGUCGUGAGAUGUUGGGUUAAGUCCCGCAACGAGCGCAACCCACGUCGUUAGUUGCCAGCAUUUAGUUGGGCACUCUAGCGAGACCGCCGGUGCAAACCGUGAGGAAGGUGGGGAUGACGUCAAAUCAUCACGGCCCUUACGUCCUGGGCUACACACGUGCUACAAUGGUAGGGACAGAGAGCAGCCACUACGCGAGUAGGAGCG
rnacentral:rRNA from 1 species